rnacentral:sRNA from 1 species
UUGACAGCCCUGGAGUUUGAAGUCCUUUAGUUAUCCCAGAACAUUUACAAUAGGAGGAAUGAUCGUGCCAGCUGCCUCCAUCGCCAUGCCUCAACCUUGCCCUGGAGGAGAGACCAUUUCUAGGAGUCAGAUGACCAUGCACCCUCCCUGGUCCAUGUAGUUGUUGGUCUCU